GGUUGUGGCUCAGUGAUAGAGCGCUUGCCUAGCACAUGUGAGGCACUGGGUUCGAUUCUCAGCACCA
rnacentral:tRNA from 1 species